rnacentral:rRNA from 1 species
UAGGGAAUCUUCGGCAAUGGACGAAAGUCUGACCGAGCAACGCCGCGUGAGUGAAGAAGGUUUUCGGAUCGUAAAACUCUGUUGUUAGAGAAGAACAAGGACGUUAGUAACUGAACGUCCCCUGACGGUAUCUAACCAGAAAGCCACGGCUAACUACGUGCCAGCAGCCGCGGUAAUACGUAGGUGGCAAGCGUUGUCCGGAUUUAUUGGGCGUAAAGCGAGCGCAGGCGGUUUCUUAAGUCGGAUGUGAAAGCCCCCGGCUCAACCGGGGAGGGUCAUUGGAAACUGGGAGACUUGAGUGCAGAAGAGGAGAGUGGAAUUCCAUGUGUAGCGGUGAAAUGCGUAGAUAUAUGGAGGAACACCAGUGGCGAAGGCGGCUCUCUGGUCUGUAACUGACGCUGAGGCUCGAAAGCGUGGGGAGCAAACA